rnacentral:rRNA from 1 species
UGGGGAAUAUUGCACAAUGGGCGAAAGCCUGAUGCAGCAACGCCGCGUGAGUGAUGAAGGUCUUCGGAUUGUAAAGCUCUGUCUUUUGGGACGAUAAUGACGGUACCAAAGGAGGAAGCCACGGCUAACUACGUGCCAGCAGCCGCGGUAAUACGUAGGUGGCGAGCGUUGUCCGGAUUUACUGGGCGUAAAGGGUGCGUAGGCGGAUGUUUAAGUGAGAUGUGAAAUACCCGGGCUUAACUUGGGUGCUGCAUUUCAAACUGGAUAUCUAGAGUGCAGGAGAGGAGAAUGGAAUUCCUAGUGUAGCGGUGAAAUGCGUAGAGAUUAGGAAGAACACCAGUGGCGAAGGCGAUUCUCUGGACUGUAACUGACGCUGAGGCACGAAAGCGUGGGUAGCAAACAGGAUUAGAUACCCUGGUAGUCCACGCCGUAAACGACGAGUACUAGGUGUAGGAGGUAUCGACCCCUUCUGUGCCGCAGUAAACACAUUAAGUACUCCGCCUGGGAAGUACGAUCGCAAGAUU